UACGUAGGGUGCGAGCGUUGUCCGGAAUUAUUGGGCGUAAAGAGCUCGUAGGCGGUGUGUCACGUCGGCCGUGAAAACCUGCAGCUUAACUGUGGGCGUGCGGUCGAUACGGGCAUCACUGGAGUUCGGCAGGGGAGACUGGAAUUCCUGGUGUAGCGGUGAAAUGCGCAGAUAUCAGGAGGAACACCGGUGGCGAAGGCGGGUCUCUGGGUAUCUCCUGACGCUGAGGCGCGAAAGCGUGGGGAGCAAACGGG
rnacentral:rRNA from 1 species